rfam:Porphyromonas sp. COT-290_OH860 contig_60, whole genome shotgun sequence.
GACUCUGUAGCUCAGUUGGUAGAGCAAAUGACUCUUAAUCAUUGGGUCGUGGGUUCGAGCCCCACCGGGGUCA